CUUCAUUCUAUUCUCUGACUACCUGUCAAAGCAUUGUGUGCUUUCUUUUGUAGUCUUAAACGUUCUUUGGAAGUUACCGUACCAGCUUUGAUGUUUUCAGAGUUUACAUUGCUCAUAUUUACUUUGCUUUCCAAUUGUAGGUUCAGUUUUCUAACUGUUUUCUCUGAUGUAGUGACGUUGUUAUGUCAUGUUUAGUGUGAACUUUGUAUUUUGUUACGGCUUUCAGCCAUUCUUCCACACUUGGGGGUCUGAUCUUUUGUCAUUUUUCACCUUAAUGAACCUUAUCUUCCUGUAGUUCCGUAGUGGUAACUUUAGCUAUUUUAUUUGUCUUUCUAUAUUUCGUGACAUUUCUGGGAAAUUGUCUCUACUUUUCUGGUUCUUGUCACCUUAAAGGUUUGGGUGUUCACCUAUUCAUAUAUGCUGCCAUGGUUAG